UACGAAGGGGGCUAGCGUUGCUCGGAAUUACUGGGCGUAAAGCGCACGUAGGCGGCUUUGUAAGUUAGAGGUGAAAGCCCAGGGCUCAACCCUGGAAUUGCCUUUAAGACUGCAUCGCUAGAAUUGUGGAGAGGUAAGUGGAAUUCCGAGUGUAGAGGUGAAAUUCGUAGAUAUUCGGAAGAACACCAGUGGCGAAGGCGACUUACUGGACACAUAUUGACGCUGAGGUGCGAAAGCGUGGGGAGCAAACAGG
rnacentral:rRNA from 1 species